UAGAUAGAUUGAGCUUUAGGUCAUGUUUUUGAUGAAAUUUUUGCAGAGUAACAGUAUGUGGACUCUCCCUUUAAUCCAAUAGAAUAAUACCCUUAUUUAUAAGGGAUGAAUAGGGUAAUGAGAGAGGGUACAAACGUGUGAGUUUCUCUUAAUAUUUUGUUGGCUCGUGUGGGAAUUCUGAGAAAAAUGGUGAGCUUUAAUAUCUUUGAGAAUUAAACCGUUAGUGAGAUUUGUGUGUCUCCCUGAUUUCACGGGAUGGUUGUGAGUUGAAUGACACGAAUUCUUCACUUGCAGAAUCUGUCAUGAUUGUACCUUCUUACUCUUUUUGAGUUUAAAAUAUGGCCCCCCUUAAUUGUUAUAUGUUGACAACAAUGUUUUCACUGCAAGUUAUUUAGUAUGGCACACGUCAAGUGUGUUUUUGCUGAAGCGGGUUUGUAUUUGAAUUGAUAAUUUUAUGUUUAUGAUGUUGCAUAACCAAUAGGAGUUUUAGGGACCCUGAUGUUACGAUGCCUUUUGCAAGGCGGAUGUGCUUGACAUUUGAUGCAAACUUUUAGACUGACUUAAUAAUUGAUCAAUGUUGUUUUUGCGGGUUCAAAUACGAAGUUUGGAUGAUAAGGCUAUUGGAGUAGCUAGAAAAUCAUGGUGACAUAUUGGGGAAAAGGCAGUACCUCUUCUUCCAAGUCGAAAAUCGACCAAGGUAUUAUAUCUUGUGGCAUGUUAUGUGAUUAGGUUGCAAUGUUUUAUGGAGAUAAUUCAUGUAAUGAUUACACCAUGCGAAUGAUCAUUAACUUAAAUGUAGAUUAAUUUGAAUUAACUCUUCCUCUCUUAACAUGUCACUAAUGUAAAGGGUGGGAUUCAAGUGAAGAGAUUGCUCAAUGGGAGUUUUGAGAAGAGAAUUUAUUGAUGUGCAAACAGGAUUCUGAGUAAGAUUAGAGAUAGGUUAAUAAAUCGUUUCAAAUGUACAUUCAAACACUAGUUUUUUUAAAUUUCAUUUAAAUCUUCUAUAUAUUGUUUAAUGUAACUUGUAUGUAGGAUAACAAAUUAUAUAUCUUUUUAAAAGUAA